CGGCAGCUACCAUGCAGUCGAGCGGAACGAGUUAUCUGAACCUUCGGGGAACGAUAACGGCGUCAGCGGCGGACGGGUGAGUAAUGCCUAGGAAAUUGCCCUGAUGUGGGGGAUAACCAUUGGAAACGAUGGCUAAUACCGCAUGAUGCCUACGGGCCAAAGAGGGGGACCUUCGGGCCUCUCGCGUCAGGAUAUGCCUAGGUGGGAUUAGCUAGUUGGUGAGGUAAGGGCUCACCAAGGCGACGAUCCCUAGCUGGUCUGAGAGGAUGAUCAGCCACACUGGAACUGAGACACGGUCCAGACUCCUACGGGAGGCAGCAGUGGGGAAUAUUGCACAAUGGGCGCAAGCCUGAUGCAGCCAUGCCGCGUGUAUGAAGAAGGCCUUCGGGUUGUAAAGUACUUUCAGUCGUGAGGAAGGCGGCGUCGUUAAUAUCGGCAUCGUUUGACGUUAGCGACAGAAGAAGCACCGGCUAACUCCGUGCCAGCAGCCGCGGUAAUACGGAGGGUGCGAGCGUUAAUCGGAAUUACUGGGCGUAAAGCGCAUGCAGGUGGUUUGUUAAGUCAGAUGUGAAAGCCCGGGGCUCAACCUCGGAAUAGCAUUUGAUACUGGCAAACUAGAGUACUGUACAGGUGGGUAGAAUUUCAGGUGUAACGGUGAAAUGCGUACAGAUCUGAAAGAAUACCGGUGGCGAAGGCGGCCCCCUGGACAGAUACUGACACUCAGAUGCGAAAGCGUGGGGAGCAAAGAGGAUUAGAUACCCUGGUAGUCCACGCCGUAAACUAUGUCUACUUGGAGGUUGUGGCCUUGACUCGUGGCUUUCGUAGCUAACGCGUUAAGUACACCGCCUGGGGUAGUACGGUCGCAGAUUAAACUCAAAUGAAUUGACGGGGGCCCGCACAGUUGAUGUAGCAUGUGG
rnacentral:rRNA from 1 species